GACGAACGCUGGCGGCGUGCCUAAUACAUGCAAGUAGAACGCUGAAGCUUGGUGCUUGCACCGAGCGGAUGAGUUGCGAACGGGUGAGUAACGCGUAGGUAACCUGCCUGGUAGCGGGGGAUAACUAUUGGAAACGAUAGCUAAUACCGCAUAAGAGUAGAUGUUGCAUGACAUUUGCUUAAAAGGUGCAAUUGCAUCACUACCAGAUGGACCUGCGUUGUAUUAGCUAGUUGGUGAGGUAACGGCUCACCAAGGCAACGAUACAUAGCCGACCUGAGAGGGGGAUCGGCCACACUGGGACUGAGACACGGCCCAGACUCCUACGGGAGGCAGCAGUAGGGAAUCUUCGGCAAUGGACGGAAGUCUGACCGAGCAACGCCGCGUGAGUGAAGAAGGUUUUCGGAUCGUAAAGCUCUGUUGCAAGAGAAGAACGAGUGUGAGAGUGGAAAGUUCACACUGUGACGGUAUCUUACCAGAAAGGGACGGCUAACUACGUG
rnacentral:rRNA from 1 species